CAGAGUUUUUUGAUUGCAUGUACUGACCACUUUGGUUGGUGUGUGCAAGUUGAUCUUUAGAAUAAUGGUUUAUUUGGAUUUUGGACAACCCGCUUUUCUCCAUCAGACACUAUCAUUACUUUUCAUUAUUAAAUCAAUUCUCACUUUGUUUUCACUUUUACAUACUCCCCUUUCUCGAAGGCAAAUUGUCAACCCUCAUUUUACCAUGUCUUUUCCAUCUUUUCUUAUUUGUAUGGUCACGGUUAAACCACGUUAACAUGUCUUAUUAUCUUUAUAAAAAAAAUCAAUAUAAAAUAUUAAUGUAACUUAACUGUAAUCACACAAUAUAAAAGGAGAUGGGAAGGAGAUGAUAAUGAAAGAGCAGACAAUCUGCCUCCCCCUUUCUCUCCCAUUUACAACCGGUUUCUCUCUCUCUCUCAUUUCCCACACAUCUCUCCUUCUCUCUAUCUGACACACACAAGCCAUUUCCCAUACUCCCUCACGUCACUCCCUCUCUCUUUUCACUCAUUUCCCUCACAUCUUAAUCUACCGCAUUCCCUCACAUCUCUCCUUCUCUCUAUCUGACACGCACAAGCCAUUUCCCAUACUCCCUCAUGUCACUCCCUCUCUCUUUUCACUCAUUUACCUCACAUCUGAAUUUACCACACCCGUAGCUCUCUCUCCCUCUGAAACUCAUCUCUUCCUCUCGGCGCGACCCAUGCAGCCAUCAUACCAUCUCUAAAACUUCCCAAACUCAACCAAAAAUCGCCUAAAACCUCUGGGACUUGUUACCCACUGUUUGACUGUGAGAAACCUAGAGAAAAACGAAAACCUCGUUGUGUAUGUCGACGAUCGCCUAUGGAAUAAUCACUCUUCCGACCAUGAAUUCCCGAGCAAAACUGGGGUUGAGCGUGUAGGAAGAUUUCCCACAACCCAUUGACCACAGAUUCGAGCUUGCAUGCUUAAAUCCAUCAAGUUCAUGCAAAACUCGAUUUUGGCCGUGGCUUUUAAGCCAAUUUCCGGUCACCUCUGACCAAAUUUUGUUUCCCAAAGAGAUUUUCGAAGGACCAUGGAAUUGCAGGCCAUUUUCCGGCCAAAUGCGACCAUGGACGAGAACCCCAAUGGUAUAUUUCGUUAAUCACGUUAGGUGUUAGAAAUUGUACAAUGUUAGAAUAUGCAUGUUUGGUGGGAAAUUUUAGAAACGAAUGUUGUUGCUGUAUACUGUUUUUACAACAAGGACCAAACUGUAAAAAAUGUUGAAGCUUUUGGGCUAUUUGGUAAUUCUAGGAAGUUGGGGGCAUCCUUGCAAUUACCUUUAGUUUUAGGGGCAAUUUUGUAAAAUGCAAAA